GAUGAACGCUGGCGGCGUGCCUAACACAUGCAAGUCGAACGCUCGCAAGAGAGUGGCGCACGGGUGAGUAACACGUAGCUAAUCUGCCCUCAAGACAAGGAUAACUGUAGGAAACUACUGCUAAUACUUGAUAAGCUUACGGACUGUAGAGGUCUAUAAGAAAGAUUUAUCGCUUGAGGAUGAGGCUGCGCGCCAUCAGCUAGUUGGUAAGGUAAUGGCUUACCAAGGCGACGACGGCUAGGGGACCUGAGAGGGUGACCCCCCACACUGGGACUGAGACACGGCCCAGACUCCUACGGGAGGCAGCAGUGAGGAAUAUUGCUCAAUGGGCGCAAGCCUGAUGCAGCGAGCCGCGUGGAGGAUGAAGGAUUUCGGGUCUGUAAACUCCUGUCAGUAGGAAGAGAAUGGACGGUACCUACUGAGG
rnacentral:rRNA from 1 species